rnacentral:misc_RNA from 1 species
UCCGAUUUGACAUCGGCAGUCUCCCUAGAGUGCCCAACUUAAUGAUGGCAACUAAGGACGAGGGUUGCGCUCGUUGACGGACUUAACCGAACAUCUCACGACACGAGCUGACGACAGCCAUGCAGCACCUGUCUCACUUGUCCCUUGCGGGUCGGAAUCAUUUCUGAAACAUUCAAGUGGAAGUCAAGGCCGGGUAAGGUUCUUCGCGUUGCUUCGAAUUAAACCACAUAAUCCACCGCUUGUGCGGGUCCCCGUCAAUUCCUUUGAGUUUUAAUCUUGCGACCGUACUUCCCAGGCGGAUCACUUAACGCGUUAGCUUGGUCACGGCCGGGGUCAAUACCAGCCACGACGAGUGAUCAUCGUUUACAGCGUGGACUAC